rnacentral:rRNA from 1 species
AGCGAACGCUGGCGGCAUGCCUAACACAUGCAAGUCGAACGAGACCUUCGGGUCUAGUGGCGCACGGGUGCGUAACGCGUGGGAACCUGCCCUUAGGUUCGGAAUAACUCCCCGAAAGGGGUGCUAAUACCGGAUAAUGUCUUCGGACCAAAGAUUUAUCGCCUUUGGAUGGGCCCGCGUUGGAUUAGCUAGUUGGUAGGGUAAAAGCCUACCAAGGCGACGAUCCAUAGCUGGUCUGAGAGGAUGAUCAGCCACACUGGGACUGAGACACGGCCCAGACUCCUACGGGAGGCAGCAGUGGGGAAUAUUGGAAAAUGGGCGAAAGCAUGAUCCAGCAAUGCCGCGUGAGUGAUGAAGGCCUUAGGGUUGUAAAGCUCUUUUACCCGGGAUGAUAAUGACAGUACCGGGAGAAUAAGCUCCGGCUAACUCCGUG